rnacentral:rRNA from 1 species
UAAUACAGACGGCGCAAGCGUUAUCCGGAAUGAUUGGGCGUAAAGCGUCUGUAGGUGGUUCCCGAAGUCUACUGUCAAAUCCCAGGGCUCAACCUUGGACAGGCAGUGGAGAACUCGGGGGCUAGAGUACGGUAGGGGUAGAGGGAAUUCCCGGUGAAGCAGUGAAAUGCACAGAGAUCGGGAAGAACACCAGUGGCGAAGGCGCUCUACUAGGCCGUGACUGACACUGAGAGACGAUAGCUAGGGGAGCGAAUAGGAUUAGAUACCCUAGUAGUCCUAGCCGUAAACGAUGGAUACUAAGUGCUGUCAAAAACAGUGCUGUAGCUAACGCGUUAAGUAUCCCGCCUGGGGAGUAUGCUCGCAAGAGUG